AUACCGACGUACCGUAGAGUAAUCGUUUUUCUUCUUCUCACGGUUAAAGAAGAAAAAAAGGGGGGAGAAGUAGGUCAUCUUCUUCGCCAUUAGCAUCCAAUAACCACACUCGAACACCUUCAAUCCAAAUACUAAUCAUCUUUCGUCGUUACCUCACUAUUCGAAUAGUCGAUUGACUCUCAAGUUCUGAUCUUGAGGUACGAAGAGAUAAAAAAUCGAAAGAAAUUAGGGUUACCAAAGGGAUCCAAGUUUUUUAGACUCGAAAGAAGCACGUUCAUUUGAGUAAAAACUACGAUAUGGAAGAGUCGAAGCAUAAAUCUAGCAAGAAGGACGAUUCUUUGAAGAAAGACGAAGAUUUGAAGAGAGGGCAUCGUGAGAAGGAUAGGCGUAGAGAGAGGGAGAGAGACAGGGAUAAAGAGAAAGAGAAAGAAAGGAGUGUUGAUGAGAAGUACAAAGACAAAGAGAAGCAUAAAGAGAGGCAUAGAGAUAGAGAUAGAGAUAGGGAGAAGGAGAAGGAAAGGAAAGAGAGGGAGAGAGAGAAGGAGCGUGAACGGGAACGAGCAAAAGAGAAAGAGAACAGAGAGAAAGAGAGAGAAAAAGAGAGGGUGAAAGAGAGAGAAAGGGAGAAAGAAAGAGAGAAGGAGAGAGAGAGGAGGGAGAGAAGAGAAAGGGAAGAAAGAGAUAGGGAAAAGAUGCGAGAGAAACGUAGAGAAGCUGAGAGGGAUCACAAUAAUGGUGUUGGAAAUGAUGAUGUGAGAGAUCGAGAUAGAAAGAGGAGGAGGAGAGAUGAUGAUUACAAGGAGGAGAGAGAACGUAAGGUGUCUAGCAGACGAAGCAGGGAAGAUAGUGUAGAUAAUAACAGUGUGGUGAAGAAGGCUGAUGAAAACUCUUCAGAUAAGAAAGAGAUAAGGAGCCGUGAAGAAGAUAUGGAGGAAGAACAACGGAAAUUAGAUGAUGAAAUGGAGAAGAGAAGGAGGAGAGUUCAAGAAUGGCAGGAAAAAAGAAGAAAAAAGGAGGAAUCUGCUGGGGAGACUGAUGAACUAAAAUCAGGUAAGACAUGGACUCUAGAAGGUGAGUCUGAUGAUGAAGAAGCUGCUGCCAAUAAUGAGAAUGAAGAAGGUGACAUGGAUGUGGAUGACAAUGUGAAACAGAAAGGAGACAUUGAAAAUGGGAAUGGAGAUGUCACGGUUAACAGAUCACCAGAUACUGUGGCUCCUUUGCAGAAUGGUGGUGAUAUGAAAGAAGAAGAAGAAGAGGAAAUCGAUCCUUUGGAUGCUUUCAUGAAUUCCAUGGUGAUACCAGAAGUCAAGAAGCUGGAGGUUCCUGUUUUAGACGAUCAAAAGAAAGAUGGCAAGAAGAUUCAGAACAAUGGACAGCAACGAAAAAGAUCAAUGGGGAGGAUCAUUCCUGGUGAAGAUUCGGAUUCGGAUUAUCCUAAUGUCGAAAAUGAGGAUGACGAUCCUUUGGAAGAUGAAGACGAUGAUGAGUUCAUGAAAAGAGUAAAGAAGACAAAGGUUGAAAAGUUAUCCCUUGUUGACCAUUCAAAGAUCGACUACAUCCCAUUCAGGAAAAACUUUUAUAUCGAAGUAAAGGAAAUCCAAAAAAUGUCUGCUGAAGAAGUUGCUGUUUACAGAAAACAACUUGAACUGAAAAUACACGGAAAAGACGUACCAAAACCGAUCAAAACCUGGCAUCAAACCGGACUCACAACUAAAAUCCUAGAAACAAUCAGAAAGCUGAAUUAUGACAAACCAAUGCCUAUCCAAACACAAGCACUCCCAAUUAUAAUGAGUGGUCGCGAUUGUAUAGGCGUCGCGAAAACCGGUUCAGGUAAAACCCUAGCUUUUGUUCUUCCAAUGUUGAGACACAUAAAAGACCAACCACCUCUCAUGUCUGGAGACGGACCCAUCGGACUCAUAAUGGCACCUACACGAGAACUCGUUCAACAAAUCCACAGCGACAUAAGAAAAUUCACAAAAGUGAUGGGACUCACCUGCGUGCCGGUCUACGGAGGUUCCGGUGUUGCCCAACAAAUCAGCGAGCUGAAACGCGGAGCUGAAAUCGUGGUCUGCACACCUGGCAGAAUGAUUGACAUUUUAUGUACAAGUGCUGGAAAGAUAACAAAUCUACGUAGGGUCACGUAUUUAGUCAUGGACGAAGCUGACCGUAUGUUUGACAUGGGUUUUGAACCUCAAAUCACCCGGAUCCUUCAAAACACCCGACCCGAUCGCCAGACUGUACUUUUCUCUGCCACCUUCCCCCGCCAGGUGGAGGUUCUAGCAAGAAAAGUUUUAAACAAACCCGUUGAAAUACAGGUAGGCGGGAGGUCAGUUGUGAACAAAGACAUAAGUCAAUUAGUUGAAGUAAGACCAGAGAACGAAAGGUUCCUUAGGUUAUUAGAGCUACUCGGGGAAUGGUAUGAAAAAGGUAAGAUUUUGAUUUUUGUCCAUUCACAGGAGAAAUGCGACGCGUUGUUUCGUGAUCUGUUGAAACACGGGUACCCGUGUUUAUCGCUCCACGGGGCGAAAGAUCAAACGGAUCGAGAAUCGACGAUUUCUGAUUUUAAAAGUAACGUUUGCAAUCUGUUGAUUGCGACUAGUAUUGCUGCUAGAGGUUUGGAUGUGAAGGAGCUUGAGCUUGUGAUAAAUUAUGAUGUGCCGAAUCAUUACGAAGACUACGUGCACCGUGUGGGCCGUACGGGGCGGGCCGGAAGGAAAGGGUGUGCGGUUACGUUUUUAUCGGGUGAAGACGAACGAUACGCGCCGGAUCUCGUAAAGGCUCUGGAACUUUCCAAUCAGGUUGUUCCGGAUGAUUUGAAAGCUCUUGCGGAUGCGUUUAUGGCGAAGGUGAAUCAAGGACUGGUUCAAGCUCAUGGGACUGGUUAUGGUGGAAGUGGGUUUAAGUUUAAUGAGGAAGAGGAUGAAGUGAGGAAGGCUGCGAAAAAAGCACAGGCGAAAGAGUAUGGAUUUGAAGAAGAUAAGUCUGAUUCGGAAGACGAUGAUGAUGGUGUUAGGAAGGCGGGAGGGGAUAUUUCUCAACAGGCGGUUCUUGCUCAGGCGGCUGCACUUGCUGCCGCCAGUCAACAACCCCAGACAACCGGCGUUUCCCUGCCAGGUGUACUUGGUGUCGGUGUUGCAGGGGGUAAUGAUGGGGCGGCUAGGGCGGCGGCGUUGGCGGCUGCGAUGAACUUGCAGCAUAACCUGGCGAGGAUUCAGGCGGACUCUUUGCCUGAGCAUUAUGAGGCUGAGUUGGAGAUUAAUGAUUUCCCUCAGAACGCGAGGUGGAAGGUGACACAUAAGGAGACUCUGGGCCCGAUUUCUGAGUGGACUGGAGCUGCUAUUACUACUAGGGGUCAAUAUGUUCAACCUGGUAGGAUCCCGGGACCAGGGGAGAGAAAACUUUAUCUGUUUAUUGAGGGAGGUACUGAACAGUCUGUUAAAAGGGCAAAAGCGGAAUUAAAACGAGUUCUGGAAGACAUCACAACACAAGCAUUAUCUCUUCCAACUUCACAACCGGGGCGUUACUCUGUCGUAUGACAAGUACCCAACACUUGUAAGCUACGGCUUGACGGAGGAUCCAGCUUGCACAUACAUACAUUACAUAUUUUGUCAUGUGAUGUGAUGUGCAAUUGGUUUUUAGUGCCUGCCAGGUGGCGAUGACCAACCGAGUUUCUCUUUUUGUAAUAAAAUGUUUGGUUGGGUGAAGGGGCCUUUGUUGCUUUGCUUCUUGAAUCUUGACUGACAGUGUUGUGAAGUUAGCCUAGGGUUCCCCUUUUUAACCCAAACACCUUGAUUGCAUAUAUGUUGAGUCACAAGGGAAUUCUAGACAUUUGAUAGGAAACUAUGUAGAGUCAGAUAUAUUACUUAUAACUUCAUUAAAUCUGACACUUGUAGCAUUGCAGGUUAUUAUAGAUUGUGGUCGUGGACUGGAGGAUGAAGCUGGAGCUCUUUUAUUCAUUUGGGAGUACAAUGCGUUUUUUAAAAGUUCUAUUAUGGUUCAGCUCCAUUGGUUUGUUUUUUUAUUUUGGUUCCUUAUUAAUAUAGUAAUAUCUACUUUUUUGAGAAUCAACUAUUAACUGCUGUACUUAUAGUUGAUGAUACUUUCUUUAUAAAAAGAAUCUGGAAAAGUUGGACAAUGGCUCCAUUGAGAUCUGGAACUACAACAAGUAUUUGAUAUAAUAGAUGGAGUUAACAUGA